rnacentral:misc_RNA from 1 species
AACGCACCUUGCGCUCCUUGGCAUUCCGAGGAGCAUGCCUGUUUGAGUGUCAUUAAAUCAUCAACCACCUCAUCUUUGAGAGGGUUGGACUUGGAGGUUCUGCUGGCCCCGUCCGGGACCGGCUCCUCUGAAAAGCAUUAGCAGGGGCCCAUCUUGUGCGAUCUGCAGCCUUGUGUGAUAGUCAUCUACACUCGGCUUGGUUGCAUUGUACCCAGCUUCCAGUCGUCCACUUGUGGACAAUUCACCUGACCAAUUGACCUCAAAUCAGGUAGGACUACCCGCUGAACUUAA